rnacentral:lncRNA from 1 species
ACACAUAACACAACCAAAUAUAUACACAUAGCACGUAUUUUUAUAUAAAAUACUUCGUAUUAUUGUAUUAGAAGAAAUAACUACACACUCACUUGAUCAGAAGACGAUCCGACAGCACUACGGCUUAUAGAAGUAGUAAUCCACAGCAGAUCUGGAAGAUCUCCUCGAAAAUCGAACUUCUCGCGGGCAGAGCUUCGACUCGGGAACCGCGCUUCUCGGGAUCUUCGGGAUCUCGGGACUUGCCUCGGGGCUAGAGUAUGAUACCGGGACUUCGGGGUAGCUUCGGCACGAAAAACGAUGCAAAAGACUAGAGAGAAGAGAAGAAAAUGAACAAGAAAUGAGGCUGCCUUCGGAUCCUUUAUAUAGAGGCUGGAACCUCGGAGUACGCGGGGCGUACAGGCGUACGCAGCGCGUACGCGUCCGAAAUCGUCAUUGCAUGCGUCAUCCGAAGUGUCGACACUAUCGGAGUUACGCGAUAGCGUAACCUCGUACGCGGGGCGUACUCCGGAUUACACCGGUGACACGGCUUCGGAUAAUGCCUCCGAUUUUGAAUUAAAUAAAAAUAUAAAAUGAUUAAUAAACUUCGGAAAUUCAUAACUUCUUCAUACGAACUCCGUUUUCGACGUUCUUUAUAUCCACGCGAAGGUGAGACCACGCUCUACGACUUUCGUUUAGACUCCGUCGGCUAAUUUUGACUUUAUUUUUAUUAAUUAUUUUUAAUAGGCCGCGACAGAAACUUUCGUUAUAAAUUCAUAACUUCUUCGUUUGACGUCCGUUCUCGCCUAACUUUUUAUCGCUUCGAUACCAACAAUGAGAUCUUCGAUUCUCAUUUAGAUUGCUUCGGCUAACAACCGCUCGAUCUCAAAUCGAGUAUAACAGGCUGUAUACCGCUAAGCCGGAACUUCGAUAAAUCAUAACUUCCUCAUACGAAGUCAGAUUUGGGCGUUCUAUAUAUAUUCGGAAACCUCGUUUCAACUACUACAACAUUAACCAAAGAUAUUAAGUUUAUUUUACACUUAAAUUUUGACGCUUAUUUUUAUUCUUAAUUAAUCAAACCACAUAAUUAAGCAAUUAAGCACAAAACACAUAAUACUCAAAUAAUACAAUCUUAUUAUUUCAAAACGGGUUACAAAGGUUAACCUAGACUAUUAUAUUGCUAAAAAUGGCAAGCCCGGAAACACAGGCGUUACAGUUCUCUCCACCUUAGAAUGAUUCCGUCCCCGGAAUCACACAUCAACAAACAAAUGCGGAUAGCGACUCAACAUGUCACUCUCCGUCUCCCAGGUGAGAUUCGGCCCAUUCGUGUGUUUCCAUCGGACAAGCACUAACCCAACCAUUUUGCGUCGCAACUUCUUAGUCUUUCGGUCAACAAUUGCCUCUGGUUCUUCAAUCAACCUUUUGUUCUCAUCAAUUCUCAAUUCAGAAAUUGGAAUUAUAUCGGGAACUUCUCCCGUGAACUUCCUCAAAUAACACACAUGAAAAGUGUUGUGAAUUCCAUUCAGUUCUUCGGGUAAUUCGAGCUUGUAAGCUUGAUUCCCAAUCCUCUGAAGGACUUUAAACGGUCCAAUAAACCUUGGACUCAACUUUCCCCUUUUACCAAAUCUUAUAAGUCCCUUCCACGGCGAGACUUUAAGCAAAACCGAAUCUCCAACCUCAAAAGUCAUCGGUCUUCGCUUCUUGUCAGCAUAGCUCUUUUGACGAUCUUGAGCUGCUAACAUUCUUUCCCUAAUUAUUUUCAACUUUUCAGCAGUUUGAUGAACCAUCUCCGGUCCCAUAAACUGCUUUUCCCCAGCCUCAAGCCAACAAGACGGCGUACGACACUUCUGUCCAUACAAAGCUUGAUAAGGUGCCAUCUUAAUGCUCGAGUGAAAACUAUUAUUAUAGGAAAAUUCUACCAACGGUAAAUGUUCAUCCCAAUUACCUAGGAAUUCCAAGGUACAUGCUCUCAGCAUAUCUUCAAGUGUUUGUAUUGUUCUUUCACUCUGACCAUCAGUCUGCGGAUGGUAAGCUGUGCUUAAACAUAACUUGGUACCCAUUUCCUCUUGUAGACUUUUCCAAAACCUUGAGGUGAAACGGCUAUCACGAUCCGAUACAAUCGUUAACGGAACACCGUGAAGCCUCACAAUUUCCUUCACGUAAGAAUUCGCAAGCUUUUCCAUAGACCAUUUCUCCCUGGCCGCUAUGAAAUGCGCACUCUUAGUGAAUCGAUCAACGACCACCCAAAUCAUGUCGUGACCAUUCUUUGUUCUGGGCAGUUUAGUGACAAAAUCCAUAGCAAUGUCUUCCCACUUACCCAUAGGCACAGGCAAAGGUUCUAAACUCCCGUACGGUUUCUGAUGUUGUGUCUUGACUCUCGCACAAGUCACACACUCGGCCACAUACUUUGCAACAUCAAGCUUCAUCGUCGGCCACCAGUAGUAGGGUUUCAGGUCCCUAUACAUUUUAGUGCUACCCGGAUGAAUCGAGUACAUGGUCUUGUGAGCUUCUUCCAUCAGAAGAUCUCUAAUUCCUCCUGACUUAGGUACCCAAAUACGAUCUUGGAAUACCUUCAGUCCAUGACCGUUAGUACCAAACACCAACGUUUUACCCAAACGUUCCUCCUUUCGGUCAUUUUUCUCAGAAGCUUCCUCUUGAGCUUUCUUUAUACUUUCCACAAUGGUCGAGACAACUUCAAUUCUCAACGCUCUUGGCCUCUUCCUUUCAAGAUUGACCUUCCGACUGAGAGCAUCAGCAACAACAUUAGCUUUACCGGGGUGGUAAAGUAUCUCGCAGUCGUAGUCUUUAAGUAAUUCUAGCCAGCGUCGUUGCCUCAUAUUCAAUUCUUUCUGAUUAAAGAGGUAUUGGAGACUCUUAUGAUCAGUGAAAAGUUUGCACUUCGUGCCAUAGAGGUAAUGCCUCCAUAUUUUCAGAGCGAAAACUACCGCUGCCAACUCCAAAUCAUGAGUCGGGUAAUUCUUUUCAUGCUCUUUCAGCUGUCGAGACGCAUAUGCUAUCACCUUUUCUCUUUGGGUCAAAACACAACCCAAUCCAACACCAGACGCAUCGCUAUAAACAGCGAAGUCUUCAACUCCAUCGGGUAGAGAAAGUAUCGGUGCCUCGCAUAGCUUCUUCUUUAACUUCUCGAAUGCUUCUUUAUGCUUCUCACUCCAAGCAUAAGUAGCUCCUUUGUGGGUCAAAGCUGUUAAUGGAGUAGCAAUCGAAGAAAAGCCUUGGAUAAACCUUCGGUAAUAUCCGGCUAAUCCUAAAAAGCUUCGAAUCUCCGUGGGACUUUUCGGUUGUUCCCACUUCGUCACAGCUUCGAUCUUCGCUGGAUCAACCAUUAUCCCUUCUUGGUUGACCACGUGACCCAAGAAUUGGACUUCACGAAUCCAAAAAUCACAUUUGGAGAACUUCGCAUAAAGCUUCUCCUUCUUCAAAACUUCUAACACUUCUCGCAAGUGUCUGCCAUGCUCCUCCUGGCUUUUCGAGUAGAUCAGAAUGUCGUCUAUGAACACUAUCACGGAUUUAUCAAGGAAAGGAUUACAAACCCUAUUCAUCAAAUCCAUGAACGCUGCUGGAGCAUUGGUUAGUCCAAACGACAUAACCAAGAACUCGUAGUGUCCAUAUCUAGUUCUGAAUGCAGUCUUCUCGAUAUCUUGCUCUCUUACUUUCAGCUGAUGAUAUCCUGACCUAAGAUCGAUCUUCGAGAAAUAGCUCGAACCUUGCAAUUGAUCAAACAGGUCAUCAAUCCUCGGCAACGGAUAUCUAUUCUUUAUUGUUGCCUUGUUCAGCUCUCUGUAAUCGAUGCACAUUCUCAUACUUCCAUCUUUCUUCUUUACAAAUAACACCGGAGCUCCCCAGGGCGAUGAACUAGGUCUAAUGAAACCUUUGUCCAAUAACUCCUGAAGUUGCAUCAUUAGCUCCUUCAUCUCCGUCGGUGCUAAUCGAUAAGGUGCUUUUGCUAUUGGCGUGGUUCCUGGUAACAAGUCUAUUCUGAACUCCACUUGUCUAUCAGGUGGUAAUCCAGGAAGAUCCUCGGGAAAUACUUCCGGAUAAUCACACACCACUGGAAUGCUCUGCAUCACCUUCUUUUCUUUCUUAGCAUCAAUCACGAAUGCUAAAUAUGAUGUACAUCCCUUGGUCAAACACUUUCUGGCUUUCAUUAGAGAAAUGAUUCCAGAAUUCACUCUGCGUUUGUCCCCAUACACCAUAAACGAAUCUUUUCCAGGCGGGUUUACUUUAACUAUCUUCUUCUUGCACAAAAUUUCGGCAUCAUUGGCGCUAAGCCAAUCCAUUCCCAAGACGAUGUCGAAACCAUUUAGUUCGAUAGGCAAUAAUUCCUCGAGAAACUUAUUCCCAUUAAGGUCGAUCAAGACGUUUUUCAUACGAUGGCUAACAGGUACAAACUUGCCACUAGCUACUUCGACUAAUAAAGCAUUAUUUAGUCUAUCAACAGGCAAAGCUAGCUUUCUACCAAACUCAUGCGAAAUAAAGGAGUAGUUGGCUCCAGAAUCAAACAAUAUAUGAGCAGGUAAUUCGUUUACGAGAAAGGUACCUGAAGCGACAUCAGCUUCAUCUUUCGCAGCCUCAAGUGUCAUCUGGAAGGCUCUCGCCUUCGGCUUUGGUGGAAUGUUGGGCCUAGCUGCCUCCUUCUUCUUCGGACAGUCUUUCAAAAUAUGCCCCUCUUCAUUACAACCAAAACACAUCCUUUUGUUGUUCGGACAUUCAUUGGCAAAAUGUCCAACCUUUCCACACUUGUAGCAGGUCACAUCCUCGCUACAUUUCCCAAAGUGCUUUUUCUUACACUUAUCACACCACUUUGCUUCGCCUCCUUUUCCUCCAAACUUUUUCGAAUCAGAUUUCGAAAAUUUGCUCUUCUUACUGGAACCAGAUGUUCCUUCAAACUUCCUUUUCUCACCAACCUCAACCUUGACGGUGGUUCUCCCCUUGAUCAUGUUCUCCACAGACUUGGCAGCCCAGAUAGCUGCCUCUAGAGUAAGUGCCUGACGUACCGGCACCUCGUACUCCCAUGGAAGUCCCUUCGCAUACCGAUCCACCUUUGUCAGCUCGUCUGGAACGAUACGCAAGGCAAACUCCAUCUUAUCGGUGAAGUUAUUGGUGUAUUCAUCAACUGACAUGCUACCCUUCGUCAAUGUCAAAAACUUAUUCUCCAACUCCAACAGAUUUUGAGCCGAGCAGAACUUGCGCUUGAACUGCACCAAGAACUCUGCCCAUGACAAUUGCAGUGGCUCAUUAGGGCUUAAGGUCUUCCCUAGAGUGUUCCACCAACGAACGGCUCCACCUCGGAAUUGUCGCACGGCAUAGAUAGUCUGCAACUUACCUCUGCAGCCACAUGUCAUAAAGGCUAACUCCAUUUCGGAGAUCCAAUCCAUAACCCCAAUCGGAUCCUCCUUUCCAUUGAAGGUCGAUGGUUUGCAAGUCAAAAAGUCCUUGUACUUGCAUCCCAUUCCAUCAUUCCUUCCUUCAUGGUUAUCUUGCCUAACUAUCGGUGGGUUGGCUGGACCAACAGACCCACUGAAGUUUCCACCUUCCGAGUGCCCUUCAUUUAAUUCAGGCUCUUCCACACGAAUCGACAGUUCUUCACGAUUUUGUUGAAGCAACCGUCUAGUUUCAUCCAUCUGACGAUCCAACAUCGUCUGAAUCAUCAAUUGCACACCAGCCAUGGUUAUUGGCUCAGGUGCUGCUGCUACGACAGGUAUUGGCUCAAUCACUGGUGGUUGAUUCCUGUUUUCGUCAGCAUUUCCAACUCCACUUCUUGUUCUCACCAUUUUGAUCUACACCCCGAAUAAGGUGAAAUUAGAUCCUCAAUCAUGAUAGAUAUUCAAAUCAUCCUUAUCACUCCGAAACGUUUACAUGCUAGUUCUAAUAUCGUAGACGUACGCUUAGAAUCCUACACACAUAAGGUUUCUAGAUCCGGUCGGCAACAGACCAUAGAUCCGAACAAAUAAUAUCAUAUAUGGCAACAUAUAACAUUUAGCACAUAAAGCAUUUUAGGCAACUUUCCUAAAAUAAACUAGUGCUCGUGUCUAAAACACAACAGACACACAUCUCAAAACUUCACUUAGCAUUCUAAGUUUAAGUCUAGAAAUCCUACAAAUUCCUAGUUCGCUUAAACUAAUGCUCUGAUACCAACUGUGACAUCCCCAAAAUCUCGGCCAGAAAAGACCGAUUUUCAUUUAUGCUUUUAAAUAUUUUCAGAGUAAAUCCUUUUGAUUUGAAAGAGUUGCGGAAUUUGUUCCCAAAAACAAAACAUGAUAAAACAUUGUUUACCGAAGCAUUUCAUAAAAGAAAUGUAUUUUCAUUAUAAUCAAAACUCGGGGUGUCAUGUUCCGAUACAGACCAAUAAGCAUAAACGAAUACAUUACAAGUCAUAUAACAAAUAUAAACAUAUGCAGACUUGUAAACAAAACAACUUGAUGGUUCAUCCAUCUCAUGCCCUUCCGCCACUACCUGUAAUACAAUUUAAAACUGAGUGGGUCAGGCUUGGGAGCCUGGUGAGCAUAUAGGGUUUUCAACCCACAAUAAAUAUCAUAUUUAAUUUUCACCAACCAACAAUAACCCAAUUACCCAUUCCCGUUAUUCUCACUUUAAUGUCCCUAAAACAACUAACAUAAGGGACCUAGUCUAAGAAUAUUUCAUCGGGGCGACAACACAUGCUUCGGGGGUACCUCAGCAAUAUAAGUCAAAUAAGGCAACCAUGAGGGGGAUGGAGUACAGCGAAUGAACACCCAAGUUCAUUAACACCUACAGGUGGCGAACCUGCUAAUGUUUCCACAAGACUGUCUAGAAUAGCCAGUGGUCGUCAUCUAAACUCCGCUAGAUGACUCAAUCAAACAACAACGAGGCCUCUCAUCUGUUUAUUACACACCAACUGUCUACCCAUGUUCUACCCAACAUAUUAGUAGAUAAAAAUAUACAUUUGUAUACAUAGUUUAAAGAAAACCUGUAUAGCAUGCUUUAAUCAACACAUAUAUCACAUAACAGAUGAGGCACACACACACAUAACACAUAUCUCAUAAAGAAAUAAGCAGAUCUAUAAGAUAGAAGAGAGUGAAUACUCAUUCACACAUAACACAACCAAAUAUAUACACAUAGCACGUAUUUUUAUAUAAAAUACUUCGUAUUAUUGUAUUAGAAGAAAUAACUACACACUCACUUGAUCAGAAGAUGAUCGGACAGCACUACGGCUUAUAGAAGUAGUAAUCCACAGCAGAUCUGGAAGAUCUUCUCGAAAAUCGAACUUCUCGCGGGCAGAGCUUCGACUCGGGAACCGCACUUUUCGGGAUCUUCGGGAUCUCGGGACUUGCCUCGGGGCUAGAGUAUGAUACCGGGACUUCGGGGUAGCUUCGGGGGUUUUUGCACAGAGCUUCGACACGAAAACGAGAGGGAAUUGGCAAAAAUACCCGGAACCCUCGCAUCCUAUUUAUAGGAGGCUGGAGCCUCGGAGUACGCGGGGCGUACUGCGUUACGCGGGGCGUACUGCCCAAAACGUCAUUGCUUACGUAUCCGAAGUGCUCGAGUGCGAGUGUCGACAUCCCUCGGAGUACGCGGGGCGUACUCGAGUACGCGGGGCGUACCUCGGAUCAGAUCGGUGACUCCUUCGGAUAAUGCUUCCGAAUUUCCAAUUAAAUUUAAAUACAAAAUAUUAAAUAAACUUCGGAAAUUCAUAUCUUCUUCAUACGAACUCCGUUUUCGACGUUCUUUAUAUCCACGGAAAGGUGAGACCACGCUCUACGACUUUCGUUUAGACUCCGUCGGCUAAUUUUGACUUUAUUUUUAUUAAUUAUUUUUAAUAGGCCGCGACAGAAACUUUCGUUAUAAAUUCAUAACUUCUUCGUUUGAUGUCCGUUCUCGCCUAACUUUUUAUCGCUUUGAUACCAACAACGAGACCUUCGAUCCUCGUUUAGAUUGCUUCGGCUAAAAACCGCUCGAUCUCAAUUCGAGUAUUUCAGGCUGUAUACCGCUAAGCCGGAACUUCGAUAAAUCAUAACUUCCUCAUACGAAGUCAGAUUUGGGCGUUCUAUAUAUAUUCGGAAACCUCGUUUCAACUACUACAACAUAGAUCAAAGAUAUUAAGUUUAUUUUACACUUAAAUUUUGACGCUUAUUUUUAUUCUUAAUUAAUCAAACCACAUAAUUAAGCAAUUAAGCACAAAACACAUAAUACUCAAAUAAUACAAUCUUAUUAUUUCAAAACGGGUUACA